AGUUUUUUUUUUUUUCUUUCUUUUACCACAGCAAAGAAAUUACUACUGGUUAACCUAAGUGCUUACCCUUUGCAUGGGUAAACAUAAACUCAUUGAGAUAUUACAGACAGCUGGUCAUCAGCUAGCCUGAUACAGUAUGGCAUGCCACACAUAUGACGAUCUUGCCUGCUUGAGUAGAUUUCUGUUAGUUUGGCAGCCGUAGUAGCCAUGGAGGUUGCCAAACUGGUCGAAUCAAAGGUCUCUUUAAAACUGCUAUCCUGCCUGAAAGUGCUCUGUAGGCAGGAUUUUAGAGGGAGUAUUUAAGAAGCAGGAGUGAUCCUCCCCUGGUCUGCUGUCAGCUUGAGAUGGUGCACUGACACAACAGAAUCAAAUCAGGUUGGGGCCAGUUAACAAAGUACACCUUGUCAAAUGAGCUGCAGUAACGGUGUGUGCUCUUACGCAACACUGCCGCUAGGAACUUCUUUUGUGUAGAUAUGACUCACUGCUAACGUGAUCUUUUUGAAUGAACGUAUCAACUUCCAGCUAGAGUAGGAGGUAAUGGUCCAAUGAUAGUGCUGAAAUACACUGACAUUAUCUCACAGAAAAAAUAAAAAUCCGUAAGUGAAAUAAGAAGAGAAAGAAACCAUCGAAAUCCAUCUGUGAGUCAGUGGCCUACGCCCAGGAAGAGAUUACAAAUAGUAAGAGCAGGACAAAUGCUGAUUUUUAUGCCAGUUCUAAGGACAUCAUGACUGAGGCUGCGGCAGUUCAGAUAAACAUACCUGAUAGGUAGUCAGCCUGCAAUGGAGAAUUCAGAAUGCUUACAGAUGAAGAAGCAGAAAGAAGUUGUUUGACAGCAAAGUUAAAGGUAAAAGAAAGGUCUGGGGGGAGGAAAAAGAUAAAAGUGACUGACAGUCUGAAGAAGGAGGAUUUCAUGGUGGCUGAAUUCUGCUCUUGCCCAUGGGAAGGCCACUUGAGUUACUUCUUUGCUAACAGCCACUCGUGAUGACCUCGAGUUGCUUAUCCAAGGCUUUUCUGUCUCAGUUUAUUCUGUGAAGUGGUUGGAUGUUACUGUCGCACAAGGAACACCAAGAGAGAAUGCACAUACGGUUACAUGAACAGAUUUAGAGUUGAUUAGAUUCUGUGUUAGGCAUGCCGUUAGUGCAGAUACCCUGACAGUUUACAUAAUACCUCUAGAUAAUCACA